UGUGUAGGCGGUUGCUUAAGUUUGGUGUGAAAUCUCCCGGCUCAACUGGGAGGGUGCGCCGAAUACUGAGUGACUCGAGUGCGGGAGAGGAAAGUGGAAUUCCUGGUGUAGCGGUGAAAUGCGUAGAUAUCAGGAGGAACACCGGUGGUGUAGACGGCUUUCUGGACCGUAACUGACGCUGAGACACGAAAGCGUGGGUAGCAAACAGGAUUAGAUACCCUGGUAGUCCACGCCCUAAACGAUGCACAUUUGGUGUGGGCCAUUCAGUUGAUCCGUGCCGGAGCUAACGCGUUAAAUGUGCCGCCUGGGGAGUACAGUCGCAAGGCUGAA
rnacentral:rRNA from 1 species